rnacentral:rRNA from 1 species
UGGAUUAUCUACCCUAAGGUGGGGAACAACCCGGGGAAACUCGGGCUGAUACCGCAUGAUACCGAAAGGUCAAAGGGGGCUCGCAAGGGCUUCCGCCAUAGGAGGAGUCUGUGUCCGAUUAGCUAGUUGGUAGGGUAAUGGCCUACCAAGGCGACGAUCGGUAGCCGGCCUGAGAGGGUGAUCGGCCACAUUGGAACUGAGACACGGUCCAGACUCCUACGGGAGGCAG